rnacentral:rRNA from 2 species
CUCCGGGAACCGGGGCUAAUACCGGAUAAUAUUUUGAACCGCAUGGUUCAAUAGUGAAAGACGGUUUCGGCUGUCACUUAUAGAUGGACCCGCGCCGUAUUAGCUAGUUGGUAAGGUAACGGCUUACCAAGGCGACGAUACGUAGCCGACCUGAGAGGGUGAUCGGCCACACUGGAACUGAGACACGGUCCAGACUCCUACGGGAGGCAGCAGUAGGGAAUCUUCCGCAAUGGGCGAAAGCCUGACGGAGCAACGCCGCGUGAGUGAUGAAGGUCUUCGGAUCGUAAAACUCUGUUGUUAGGGAAGAACAAAUUUGUUAGUAACUGAACAAGUCUUGACGGUACCUAACCAGAAAGCCACGGCUAACUACGUGCCAGCAGCCGCGGUAAUACGAGA